rnacentral:lncRNA from 1 species
UCUUCUUCAUCUACCAACGCCAACAAUGGCGUCUCUACAACACACCACAGCUUCAAUCUACUCCAAAUCAAUCCCCAAAACCACAACAACCCUCACCCCAAAACCCAUCCUCAACCUCAUCCUAUCCCGCACCACCUUCACCUCCCCAAAACUCAAACUCUCCAAAACCAAACCCCGCCGCACCGGCGGCGGCGCACUCGGCUCCACAAUGAACUCCCCAGCCGCCGCCAGCUACGCCAGCGCAUUAGCCGAUUUAGCCAAAUCCAACAACACCCUCGACGCCACCACUGCAGACAUCGACAAAAUCGAAGAACUCUUCACCGACCCCAAGGU